rnacentral:misc_RNA from 1 species
GAACGCAAAUUGCACUCGAGGCUCCGGCCGAGAGUAUGUCUGCCUCAGCGUCGGCUUUACCCUCACCCCUCUUUCAAGAGGCGUGGACCUGGCCGUCCCGGUUGACUUAACCGGGUCUGCCGAAGCACAGAGGCUCUAACGAGGACCCAAUCGGGACGACUGUCUGGUAGGUGACCCGCCAGGGAUCGCAUGCCGCCGUCGGCCCGGGACCUCGUUGUAGGCCGGCAGGAAUCGUCGGCCGCUCUCCGAGAAGCCGUGCGACACACCCCUUUCGACCUGAGUUCAGGCAAGAACACCCGCUGAACUUAAG